GUCUGUUUGGAGUUAUAAAGAGUCUAGCCUGCCCACUGAUAAUAUUUAAGGGCCGCAGUAUUAUAACUGUGCAAAGGUAGCAUAAUCAUUAGGUUCUUAAUUGGAAUCUUGAAUGAAUGGUUGGACAAAAGAAGUACUGUCUUUAUGUUUUUGAAUUUAACUUUUAAGUGAAAAGGCUUAAAUAUUCUAAAGGGACGAUAAGACCCUAUAAAACUUUACAUUAAGGUUAAUUUAGUAAAUUUAAUUAUAAAGAUUUAAUUUAAUUAUUUGUUGUAUUGGGGAGAUAUAGGUAAACCUUUUAUUAACUGCUUACUGAUCAAACAUUUACUAAUGAAGUAAUGGAUCCUUGUUAAAGAUUGUUGAAUUAAGUUACUUUAGGGAUAACAGCGUUAUUUUUUUUGAGAGUUCAUAUCGAAAAAAAAGAUUGCGACCUCGAUGUUGAAUUAAAUAUCUGUAUAAUGGAGCGGUUAUACAAGAGGGUCUGUUCGACCUUUAAAAUUUUACAUGAUUUGAGUCAAACCGGCGUGAG
rnacentral:rRNA from 1 species